AUUGAACGCUGGCGGCAUGCCUUACACAUGCAAGUCGAACGGCAGCGCGGGAGCAAUCCUGGCGGCGAGUGGCGAACGGGUGAGUAAUAUAUCGGAACGUGCCCAGUAGUGGGGGAUAGCCCGGCGAAAGCCGGAUUAAUACCGCAUACGACCUGAGGGUGAAAGGGGGGGAUCGCAAGACCUCUCGCUAUUGGAGCGGCCGAUAUCAGAUUAGGUAGUUGGUGGGGUAAAGGCCUACCAAGCCUGCGAUCUGUAGUUGGUCUGAGAGGACGACCGGCCACACUGGGACUGGGACACGGCCCAGAGUCCUACGGGAGGCAGCAGUGGGGAAUUUUGGACAAUGGGCGCAAGCCUGAUCCAGCAAUGCCGCGUGCAGGAAGAAGGCCUUCGGGUUGUAAACUGCUUUUGUCAGGGAAGAAAUCCUCUAGGCUAAUACCUUGGGGGGAUGACGGUACCUGAAGAAUAAGCACCGGCAAACUAUGUGCCAGCCGCCGCAGUAA
rnacentral:rRNA from 1 species